rnacentral:rRNA from 1 species
GACGAACGCUGGCGGCGUGCUUAACACAUGCAAGUCGAACGGAAAGGCCCUGCUUUUGUGGGGUGCUCGAGUGGCGAACGGGUGAGUAACACGUGAGUAACCUGCCCUUGACUUUGGGAUAACUUCAGGAAACUGGGGCUAAUACCGGAUAGGAGCUCCUGCUGCAUGGUGGGGGUUGGAAAGUUUCGGCGGUUGGGGAUGGACUCGCGGCUCAUCAGCUUGUUGGUGGGGUAGUGGCUUACCAAGGCUUUGACGGGUAGCCGGCCUGCGAGGGUGACCGGCCAAAUUGGGACUGAGAUGCGGCCCAGACUCCUACGGGAGGCAGCAGUGGGGAAUAUUGCACAAUGGGCGGAAGCCUGAUGCAGCAACGCCGCGUGCGGGAUGACGGCCUUCGGGUUGUAAACCGCUUUCGCCUGUGACGAAGCGUGAGUGACGGUAAUGGGUAAAGAAGCACCGACUAACUACGUG